rnacentral:rRNA from 1 species
GUACACUCCUGCGGGAGGCAACAGUGGGGAAUAUUGGACAAUGGGCGCAAGCCUGAUCCAGCCAUGCCGCGUGAGUGAUGAAGGCCCUAGGGUUGUAAAGCUCUUUCACCGGUGAAGAUAAUGACGGUAACCGGAGAAGAAGCCCCGGCUAACUUCGUGCCAGCAGCCGCGGUAAUACGAAGGGGGCUAGCGUUGUUCGGAUUUACUGGGCGUAAAGCGCACGUAGGCGGACUAUUAAGUCAGGGGUGAAAUCCCGGGGCUCAACCCCGGAACUGCCUUUGAUACUGGUAGUCUUGAGUUCGAGAGAGGUGAGUGGAAUUCCGAGUGUAGAGGUGAAAUUCGUAGAUAUUCGGAGGAACACCAGUGGCGAAGGCGGCUCACUGGCUCGAUACUGACGCUGAGGUGCGAAAGCGUGGGGAGCAAACAGGAUUAGAAACCCGUGUAGUCCCA